CGCUGUCUCCUCCACCUAACUGCCCCCCCCCUCCACCCGCACGCCCGGGUCCGGAGACUGGCACCGAGCAGCGUCUCAGCGCCCACGUGUGAAUGAGAGGACAGGUGAUCUCACCAUCCUAACUGGGAUUUCUCAGGCAGGAGUAGGUCCAAGAAACAAAGACAAAAACGCACCUCGUGCAGACCAGGACUCUCAGUUCCCAGACAGUUGAAGAAUUUGAGCCACAGAGAAGCUAAGUCACUUGCCCAAGGUCACACAGCUAGAAGGUGGUUGUCCUGGGAUUCAAAAUCUGGAAGCAAAAACAAUGGCUAAGGGAGAGGUAGGGGCCACCAAACACUGAUCUGGAUCUUCACACCCAGGAAAAGCUCUCUGAUGCCAUGGCUUGCCCAUACUGCGGACAGCAGGAAAGGGAACUGUAGGCCCAGAGGAUGGAGGGGACUCAACUUCUCUUCACGGGCCAAACGUACAUGGAGUUUCGUACUGUUUAAAUCACGUUAUAACGCGACCCUGCAGGUAUGGUGGA